GAUGAACGCUGGCGGCGUGCUUAACACAUGCAAGUCGAACGGAAAGGCCCAAGCUUGCUUGGGUACUCGAGUGGCGAACGGGUGAGUAACACGUGGGUGAUCUGCCCUGCACUUCGGGAUAAGCCUGGGAAACUGGGUCUAAUACCGGAUAGGACCACUUCUUGGAUGUUGUGGUGGAAAGUUUUUUCGGUGUGGGAUGAGCUCGCGGCCUAUCAGCUUGUUGGUGGGGUAAUGGCCUACCAAGGCGUCGACGGGUAGCCGGCCUGAGAGGGUGUACGGCCACAUUGGGACUGAGAUACGGCCCAGACUCCUACGGGAGGCAGCAGUGGGGAAUAUUGCACAAUGGGCGCAAGCCUGAUGCAGCGACGCCGCGUGGGGGAUGACGGCCUUCGGGUUGUAAACUCCUUUCGCUAGGGACGAAGCGUUAUGUGACGGUACCUGGAGAAGAAGCACCGGCUAACUACGUG
rnacentral:rRNA from 1 species